rnacentral:rRNA from 1 species
UACGAAGGGGGCUAGCGUUGUUCGGACUCACUGGGCGUAAAGCGCACGUAGGCUGAUUGGUCAGUUGGGGGUGAAAUCCCGGGGCUCAACCUCGGAACUGCCUUCAAUACUGCCAGUCUUGAGUCCGAGAGAGCUUAGUGGAAUUCCUAGUGUAGAGGUGAAAUUCGUAGAUAUUAGGAAGAACACCAGUGGCGAAGGCGGCUCACUGGCUCGGUACUGACGCUGAGGUGCGAAAGGGUGGGGAGCAAACAGG